CGCAGACCUGGCAACCCUGGAUGCGAGAGAAUCGAAGGUGUUCGGCGAGAGAAGGGUGUGAAAAAACUGAACAUAAAACACGGACUAUUGUGGUGUUGAAAGCGUGUGGAUAAAAGUAUCCCUGCAGUUUAAACUCACACCCACAGCCUGCACCGGAGGAGAAGAGACGGACGAGAGGAUACCAGAUAGCGCACCUGGCGACCAGGUAAAGCCCUGCUGCACCUCUGGCUACGCGGGAGGAGAGACUUUCUGCAUUAGCGUGGAGGCCCUGCUGAACGGAGCCGCCAUUUUGGCUCAGAGGACUGCAGUGAGGCGGCGGAGCUGCUGAGAAACGUGAUGAGACAAAGCCGACGCGGCGUCUUGUCAUCGUCUCGCUGCACGUCGUCAUCAGGAACGACAAACAACCUGCAGCAGAAACCUGGAAGCUUCUGGAGGCAGAUCGGAGCUGCAGCGUGCAUCUGGGCGACCAGCGCUGGAAAACACCUCCCAAAGUAAAAGUCCUGCGUUUCAAAUGUUCCUCCAGUGUAAA